rnacentral:rRNA from 1 species
UACUCCUACGGGAGGCAGCAGUGGGGAAUAUUAGGCAAUGGGGGAAACCCUGACCUAGCGACGCCGCGUGAGGGAAGACGGUCUUCGGAUUGUAAACCUCUGUCUUCAGGGACGAUAAUGACGGUACCUGAGGAGGAAGCCACGGCUAACUACGUGCCAGCAGCCGCGGUAAUA